rnacentral:misc_RNA from 1 species
UUUCCGUAGGUGAACCUGCGGAGGGAUCAUUACCAGAGAUGGCGGGCUCCCGCGCCCCCGUCCCCAACCCAUUGUUGACCAAAACUCUUUUUGCCUCGGGGGCAGAGCGUCCGCCGCCGCCCCCGGAGGACCACUGAACGCUGUCUCUUUGCGUCAGAGGAAUUGAUGAAAUAAAUGAAAACUUUCAACAACGGAUCUCUUGGUUCUG